CAGGAAAUACCAAUCCAGGCCCUUCCGGUUUGGUAAUUGGAAUGAGUUAAGUAUAAACCCCCUAACAAGUAUCAAUUGGAGGGCAAGUCUGGUGCCAGCAGCCGCGGUAAUUCCAGCUCCAAUAGCGUAUAUUAAAGUUGUUGCAGUUAAAAAGCUCGUAGUUAAUUUUCUGUUAAUUUUUAUAUACAAUGCUACGGUAUUUAUAUAAUAUUAACAUAAUUCAUAUUACUUUUUAGUAUAUGAAACUUUACUUUGAAAAAAUUAAAAUGGUUAAAGCA
rnacentral:rRNA from 1 species